rnacentral:rRNA from 1 species
CGUGGAUAACCUGCCAUAUACAGGGGGAUAACACUUAGAAAUAGGUGCUAAUACCGCAUAAGCGCACAGCUUCGCAUGAAGGAGUGUGAAAACUAAGGUGGUAUAUGAUGGAUCCGCGUCUGAUUAGCCAGUUGGUGAGGUAACGGCUCACCAAAGCGACGAUCAGUAGCCGGCCUGAGAGGGCGGACGGCCACAUUGGGACUGAGACACGGCCCAGACUCCUACGGGAGGCAGCAG